rnacentral:rRNA from 1 species
UGCGAACUCCUACGGGAGGCAGCAGUGGGGAAUAUUGCACAAUGGGCGCAAGCCUGAUGCAGCCAUGCCGCGUGUAUGAAGAGGGCCUUCGGGUUGUAAAGUACUUUCAGCGAGGAGGAAGGCACUGUGGUUAAUAACCACAGUGAUUGACGUUACUCGCAGAAGAAGCACCGGCUAACUCCGUGCCAGCAGCCGCGGUAAUACGGAGGGUGCAAGCGUUAAUCGGAAUUACUGGGCGUAAAGCGCACGCAGGCGGUCUGUCAAGUCGGAUGUGAAAUCCCCGGGCUCAACCUGGGAACUGCAUUCGAAACUGGCAGGCUAGAGUCUUGUAGAGGGGGGUAGAAUUCCAGGUGUAGCGGUGAAAUGCGUAGAGAUCUGGAGGAAUACCGGUGGCGAAGGCGGCCCCCUGGACAAAGACUGACGCUCAGGUGCGAAAGCGUGGGGAGCAAACAGGAUUAGAUACCCCAGUAGUCCAGAUG